rnacentral:lncRNA from 12 species
UGGCCCAUAGCAGACAGAGUCAACCAAGGUGACUUUUCCCUUCUCUCUGGUGAAGACACAGGGUACUUUUUUUCACAUGGAAAUGGAACUUCAUAAAACUAGAAAACAAGACUAUGGCCCCAGGGAAGGUUUUAGUGACUCUGCCCAGAGGGAGCCUCCAGGUGUGUGCUGAAAGGGCAGAAGAAGCUUGCCAAGGAGGCUGAGGGCUCCUGGAGACUCAGCGCCAGGCUUUGUGUGUUGGCUGGAACGCUUCCCGUGGCGAUCAGUGACUGCAGAUGACAGCCCCCACAGGCCAGGGAAUGCACAGGGGUGUCCAGCACUCUUUGAGAAAAAAACUCUCCUGACAUCGGCGUCCCUUUCUAGUCCUGUGGAGAUGCCAGAAAGGAAGAAUAGCCCAAGAAAAAUAUCCUUAAGGAGUGAGAGCAGGUUAGACCCAUAGACCCAGAGAUUAUGUCUGCAUAUAAAUAUACAUAUAUAUAUAGGCUUAUUUUUAUGUAUGAAAUAUGUAUGAGAUAUGAGAUAUAUGUAUAUACAUACAUAUGAGAUUAGGGUUGUGUGUGUGUAUGAGCUCCAGCUAAUCUGUAUUCAACACAUCUAUUUUUAUGUAAAAUAAGUAAAAUACCUAUGUAAGGAUUUAAAUAAAUAAAUAUUGAUCAGAAUAUAAUAAAUAUUG